rnacentral:pre_miRNA from 1 species
CCGCGGCGGCGGCAACAGCGCCCCCCCGAGCAGCCCCCGCUAUCGCGCGCGCCGGGGGGUAGCUGGGGCCGCGGCAGCGGCG